rnacentral:rRNA from 1 species
CAGUAGCCACGGUAAUACGAAGGGUGCAAGCGUUAAUCGGAAUUACUGGGCGUAAAGCGUGCGUAGGUGGUGGUUUAAGUCCGUUGUGAAAGCCCUGGGCUCAACCUGGGAAUUGCAGUGGAUACUGGAUCACUAGAGUGUGGUAGAGGAUAGUGGAAUUUCCGGUGUAGCAGUGAAAUGCGUAGAGAUCGGAAGGAACAUCUGCGGCGAAGGCAGCCCCCUGGGCCAAUACUGACGCUCAUGCACGAAAGCGUGGGGAGCAAACAGGAUUAGAUACCCCAGUAGUCCCUGUCUCUUAUAC